GAUGCAAUCGCAGAAGGAGAUAAUUGCGUAGUCCAACUUGUCAUCCUCACGCUGAGAGCUACUCCACGUCCUGUGUCCCGUCCUUCAAAAGGACACUUGUGUUACAUCAAAACCACAAGUGCUUGUUCCUGCUCCCAGGUGGCCUUCACUUGUUAACUGCAGGUUUAAAGUACGACGAGGAGCUUUUAAAAGCGUCUCCAUGACCUACAUAAACAAAUGAGUCCAUCUGCAAGAAGACUGGCUAUUUCUGAAAGUGAUUACAGUUAUUCUACAUGCCUGUCAUCGAGUUGGAUUUUGACAUAUUCGGGUUGGAUGAGUCACAAAAAUAAAACCAUUUUCUCUUUUUC